UACGUGGGGUGCAAGCGUUGUUCGGAUUUACUGGGCGUAAAGGGCGCGUAGGCGGCGCAACAAGUCACUUGUGAAAUCUCCGGGCUUAACCCGGAGCGGCCAAGUGAUACUGUCGUGCUAGAGUGCGGAAGGGGCGACUGGAAUUCUCGGUGUAGCGGUGAAAUGCGUAGAUAUCGAGAGGAACACCUGCGGCGAAGGCGGGUAGCUGGGCCGACACUGACGCUGAGGCGCGAAAGCCAGGGGAGCGAACGGG
rnacentral:rRNA from 1 species